rnacentral:rRNA from 1 species
ACUUAAAUUGAAGAGUUUGAUCAUGGCUCAGAUUGAACGCUGGCGGCAGGCCUAACACAUGCAAGUCGAGCGGUAGCACAGAGAGCUUGCUCUCGGGUGACGAGCGGCGGACGGGUGAGUAAUGUCUGGGAAACUGCCUGAUGGAGGGGGAUAACUACUGGAAACGGUAGCUAAUACCGCAUAACGUCGCAAGACCAAAGUGGGGGACCUUCGGGCCUCAUGCCAUCAGAUGUGCCAGAUGGGAUUAGCUAGUAGGUGGGGUAACGGCUCACCUAGGCGACGAUCCCUAGCUGGUCUGAGAGGAUGACCAGCCACACUGGAACUGAGACACGGUCCAGACUCCUACGGGAGGCAGCAGUGGGGAAUAUUGCACAAUGGGCGCAAGCCUGAUGCAGCCAUGCCGCGUGUGUGAAGAAGGCCUUCGGGUUGUAAAGCACUUUCAGCGGGGAGGAAGGCGUUAAGGUUAAUAACCUUGGCGAUUGACGUUACCCGCAGAAGAAGCACCGGCUAACUCCGUGCCAGCAGCCGCGGUAA